AGUGAACGCUGGCGGUAGGCCUAACACAUGCAAGUCGAACGGCAGCACAGUAAGAGCUUGCUCUUACGGGUGGCGAGUGGCGGACGGGUGAGCAAUACAUCGGAAUCUACUUUUUCGUGGGGGAUAACGUAGGGAAACUUACGCUAAUACCGCAUACGACCUACGGGUGAAAGCAGGGGAUCUUCGGACCUUGCGCGAUUGAAUGAGCCGAUGUCGGAUUAGCUAGUUGGCGGGGUAAAGGCCCACCAAGGCGACGAUCCGUAGCUGGUCUGAGAGGAUGAUCAGCCACACUGGAACUGGGACACGGUCCAGACUCCUACGGGAGGCAGCAGUGGGGAAUAUUGGACAAUGGGCGCAAGCCUGAUCCAGCCAUACCGCGUGGGUGAAGAAGGCCUUCGGGUUGUAAAGCCCUUUUGUUGGGAAAGAAAAGCAGCAGGUUAAUACCCCGCUGUUCUGACGGUACCCAAAGAAUAAGCACCGGCUAACUUCGUG
rnacentral:rRNA from 1 species